rnacentral:rRNA from 1 species
UACAGAGGAGCCAAGCGUUGUCCGGAUUGACUGGGCGUAAAGCGCACGCAGGCGGCACCGCGCGUGGGGUGUGAAAUCUGGCCGCUUAACGGCCAGGCGCCAUCCCAUACGGCGGAGCUGGAGUGAUGCAGAGGUCGAUGGAAUUGCCGGUGUAGUGGUGGAAUGCGUAGAGAUCGGGAGGAACACCAGUGGCGAAAGCGGCUCUCUGGUUCACACCUGACGCUGAGGAGCGAAAGCGUGGGGAGCGAACAGG